UUGAGUUAAGUUCGCGAACGGGUACGUAUGUGUAAAUGUAUUUAAAUGUGUAGUUUUAAUUUUAAAUUAUCGCUUCGUUUAAGAAUAACUUAGUAAACUAAUUUAAAGUGAAAGUGAUUGUGGUUUUGUGUUUAAACUGAUUAAUAAGAAAAAGGAUUACUAUUACACAUGAAUGUUACCACCAUAGAAUGGUUAAAGAUUGCCUACUCGAAGUGUGCAGGUACAAGAAAGUCUUAAGGAAACUCUUGGCAUAAGGUUAGCUGUUCACAAGUGUACAACGUUCUUGCCUUCGUUAUCGUUUAUACAAUGUCCAAAAGGGUUCAACCAACGUGGUCACCACCACAAAAUGCAGAAAAACCUGUCCUUAAAUUAUUCAACAGUUUAACAAGACGAAAAGAAGUUUUUGUUCCUGAGAAAGGAAACACUGUAACGUGGUACAGUUGUGGUCCAACAGUUUAUGAUGCCUCACAUAUGGGACAUGCAAGAUCCUAUAUAUCAUUUGAUAUUUUAAGAAGAGUCCUUAAUGAUUAUUUUGGAUACAAUAUACUCUAUGUAAUGAACAUAACUGAUAUUGAUGACAAGAUUAUAAGAAGGGCGAGACAGAAUUACUUAUUUGUUGAAUAUGUAGCCGAAAGUAAAUCAUUGGAGCAAAUGCUAAAAGAUACCAAAGAGGUAAUGGAUCAAUUUUUACGUAAAGCAAAAGAAACAAAUUGUGUAGACAAGAAAGGAAUGCUGGAGAAACUCCUCAAUAAACUAACUGCAUCUGUAGAAUCUUUAGAAGAAGCUGUAAGAUGUGGAAACAAUGAGAAAAUUGAACAAAUGCAGAAGAAAUUACUUGAAGAAUGUAAGGACCCCUUGUCAGAAUGGCUUGAUCACAAAUAUGGCACUACUGUAACAGAUAAUGCAAUAUUUAGUUCUUUACCAAAGUAUUUUGAAAAACUGUUUCAUGAAGACAUGGAUGCCCUCAACGUACUUAGACCUCAUGUAUUAACUAGAGUUAGCGAAUAUAUUCCUGAAAUAAUAAAAUACAUAGAAAAAAUUAUCGAAAACGGAUUCGGUUAUGUCGCCAAUGGAUCAGUGUAUUUCGAUGUGGCCACUUUUGAUAAAUGCGAUAAACACUACUAUGCAAAGCUUGUCCCUGAAGCUUACGGUGAUACAAGCAGCUUACAAGAGGGCGAAGGUGACUUAACAACUAUUGACCAACAAAGUGAGAAACGAUCCCCAAUAGAUUUUGCACUCUGGAAGAAAAGCAAAGCAGGUGAACCGGCGUGGGAUUCUCCCUGGGGCAAAGGACGACCUGGAUGGCACAUAGAAUGCUCCACUAUGGCAGCAGCAAUCUGUGGUUCCACCUUAGAUAUCCACUCGGGGGGUGUUGACCUAAAAUUUCCGCAUCACGACAACGAAAUUGCUCAAAGUGAAGCCCAUUUCGAUUCAUCUGAGUGGGUGAAAUAUUUUCUACAUUCUGGACAUUUGACAAUUCAGGGUUGCAAAAUGUCCAAAUCUUUAAAGAAUUUUAUUACAAUCCAAGAAGCUUUGUCUCAACAUACAGCUAGGCAACUAAGACUAGCAUUUCUUUUGCAUUCUUGGAAAGACACCCUCGAUUACAGUACGAACACCAUGGAAUCUGCGAUGUCUUAUGAAAAAACGUUUAAUGAAUUCUUUUUAAAUGUAAAGGGGCUUAAAAGAAACGCUUGCAAAGUAAUGGAAUUUGAAAAAUGGGAAAGUAAAGAAUUAGAGUUGAAUAAUAAAUAUUUACAAGUAAAAGAGAAUGUACACACAGCUUUGUGUGACAACGUUGAUACGAGAACCGCAAUGGAAAACCUGAGAGAAUUGGUGUGUGCCUGCAAUUUAUAUUUCAGGGAUCAGAAGAAGCCUGUCAUAAUACUUUUAGAUGAUAUAGCCCUUUAUGUAACUCACAUGUUUCAAGUUUUUGGUUUAAUUCCUAAAAACUCCCAAAUUGGUUUCCCUGUAAAGACUCAGUCCGGUGAAGUAGAGACUGAAAGCCUUCUUAUGCCGUACCUAAAUGUUAUAGCAGAGUUUAGGGACAAUGUAAGAACUUAUUCAAGAACCCUGAAGGCUACUGAUAUUUUAAAGGAGUGUGACAGAUUAAGGGACGACGUCCUACCCAUUCUUGGAGUACGACUUGAAGAUAAAGAAGGAGCACCCAGUACAAUUAAAUUGGUGGACAAAGAUACUUUGUUACGGGAAAAGGAAAUGAAGAAAAAAAUGGAACAAGAAAAGGCAGCAGAAAAAGAGAGGAAAAAAGCAGAGCUUGCAGCUGCCCAGGCAGCGAAAGAAGCCUUGAAAAAAGUGUCCCCUUCUGAAAUGUUUAAAAAUGAAAAAGACAAAUAUUCAAAAUUUGAUAAAAACGGAUUACCGACCCACGACGCCGAGGGAAAGGAACUUAGUAAAGGCGUUAUUAAGAAGUUACAGAAGUUACAAUUGGCCCAAGAGAAACGGUUCAAGGAAACUAUACUUGCUAAUGGGCAAUAAGUGACCUCUCAUCUAAAGACUGAAAGAGAAGCCACAAUCUAAAAAAUACCAAUAUUAGAACUGGAAUUACUCUGAAUAUAAAAGCCUUACGCUCUCAAACAAACUUCACUGAGCCUCUGACCAGGAGCUUUGGCAAGAAGUCUCAACUUACCAAAACCAUUAUUGACACGAUGUCAUUUAACACUGUCUCAACUUCAUCUUCCUUCUCUUCACGGAAACAAGCGUCAC